UCUUGGGCGGCGAGGCCGUCACGGAGCUGUGCGUUCCCUCUUCCAGGCGCGUCUUUUUGGGCGGUGUGCGCCACACGAUUGCGGCGUGCCUCUUGUGGCCGGCCGCCAACUCCUCAGGCUCGGCUUCGCCCUCCUCCCUCUCCUGCGCCCGGCUCUGCGCUCAGAAUGCCUUUUUGCUUCUUGCUAUCAGUUGAGAAUUGCGGUACAGGUGAAAGGCCCCUGCUUCUACUUGGUGGCACGAACUUCACAGAUCACGGCCACGCUGCCAGGAGGCAUGUCCAGGAUCCUACUGUCAGCAAACUUCCCAGCCAUCAGGGGCUUCCACAAGUUUCCAAGAACCAAAUGUGGCCAUGAUCAUUGCUGCACAAGCAGAUGAGGCAGUCAGCAGGUCCUGGCCUCCCAAUGCAUGUGCAACCUAGAGAAUGACCACCAUCGUAUCUUUAACAAGCCAAGACCCAACAGUCUCAGCUGUGGCCACACUCGCCGCUCUGAACAUGGGAAGUGUAUGCAGAGCGCAGCGCAACCACCAUCAUGCGCUGCCGCACACCUGACCCCCAGGACAACAUGCUAUAUGGUAACGAAUAAGCUUCCCAUUCCCUGAACAGAGCAUUUGAAGAUUGCCUGCAGAGCGCCGUACACCCACACAGUAUCAAACCUAGACCUGCAGCAUGCCAUCUUCAACGCCAAUCACUAUCCCAGUUCAGGCCUAAAAGAUUGUACCUCUCCGUCUUCAGGGGGGGACCGCUGCCGCUCAGCGUCGCGCUUGGCCUUCUGCUCGGCGGCCAGCCGCUCCGCCGCGAUGCGUCGCAGGUCCCCCAGCAUUCCACUGGCGCCCCCCAACACCGACGGUGAGGCCCCCGCAAUCCCCCCGCCCCGGCCGGGGGGCCCAGGCGGCCCCGGCCGCUCGGCCUCG
rnacentral:lncRNA from 1 species